GACUGCCUCUGUCUGAAUCCUGUCGUGCUCCGUGCCUGUGCUACUAGGUGGCUCCUCGUAGAUGAGAUUUUAGGCUGGCUUUUCUGUCCAGAUAUGCACAGUUCCGUGAUGAAGUAGUCCGGUGGCCACCUGUUUCCAGCUGAGACAGGCUCCAACCAAAGGAGGAAUUGUCGCACAUCUGCGGUGGUGCAGGGAGGAGCAGAGGAACUUCUGUCUACUGAAGGCAAGAAUGGAUUUAUUCAAAGUAAAAGCAAGAGACCACACGAACUAGGACUGACAGAAGCCGCGAGAGCUGGGAGCGCCUGAUCCGAACCUGAGCUGGAUGUGAGACAGGAGGUGAAUGCUGUGAGUUCCCCCUUCUCUACCAGGUCACCCCACGCGGGCUCCAGCCCCACCCGUGACUUUUCCCUUCCCUGGACCACCCAAUUCUGGAGGUUUGUAAGCUUCCAACUCCACAGCGCGCUCCUCCAAGUCGAGUUUUGGCUCCCCGAAGGGUCUACGUGGUGCCCAAGUUCUCGAUGCCCCCUCAGUCUCGUGAAUUCCACCUGAUGGCUGCAUUUUACCAGAUCUGGAUGCGGUCGCGGCCCGAGAUAAGCAUGGAGUUAACUCGUGCCUGAUCUCGCUGUUACAAUCCUUUUAUUUUCUUUCUGAUUCUGCCACCCUCCCAGCCCCUCCCUGGGGACAGCUUGUCGUGAGGUCACUAACAGAGUCUCGCUCCAUUCUACGGCCCCCUUCAGUGUUCUCGGGGCGCUAGAUCUCCUGGGAUGGGGCCACCAAGAUACGGCUUCCCAGACCGCGGUGUAGGCCACCCCUGCCUGUCCCAUCUCUUCUUCGCUAAACUGGCAGAAUGCUCAGGAAGUUUGUUUUCGUUGU